rnacentral:lncRNA from 1 species
GCGCGCGCAUACACACACACACAUCCACCAGCAGCUCUCGGCGCUGAAACUAAAUUAAGAAGCACAUGAUUAAGAGACAAGCGUCUACGGGGCCUGUCAUUUCAGCAUCCUUCCAUCAUAACAUUGUGGCACGGGGGAAAUUUGCUUGAAAACCCUUGGAAGGAAGGGGGAAAAAAUCGAGGGAGAAGAGAGCUUAGGCACAAAGAGCGAGAAGGCGAGAGAUAGAUAGAUAGAUAGAUAGAUAGAUAGAUAGAUAGAUAGAUAGAUAGAGAGAGAGAGAAAGAGAGAGAGAGAGAGCCUGCUUGCUCCGGGAGAGGAAAGAGAAGAGAGGCUGGCAAGAGCCCAGAGGUCUCCAAGAACUUGGAAAAGCGUGCACGGAUCUCUAUCUUGGAGAGCGAGCAGGAAUGAAUGAUAAUAUUUUACCCAUAAAACGGAAACUAAAGUUUGGAGAGCUGGAGUGAUAUAAUAUUGGAUUAGAACUUUGGAACCCAAAGCUUGAAUCCCCACUUGACCAUGGACACCCUUUGGAAGACCUUGAACAAGUCUUAGUCUCUCAGCCUCAGAUGAUGGCAAAAUUUCCUCCCUGAUCAAAUCUUGUUAAGAAAAUUUCAUAAUAGGGUCACCAAGCUGGAGAUGACUAAAAAGCACAUAAUAACAAGUAAAUGCAAGGGUGGGUGCCUGCCUGAUCUCUCUAGGGAGAGAGUUCCAGAUCCGGGGGCCACUACUGAGAAGGCCUGCUCCCUCGUCCCUGCCAACCAAGCUUGUGAUGGAGGCGGGAGCAAGAGAAGGGCCUCCCCGGAUGAGCGAAGAAGUCAUGCAGGUUCAUAGGGAGAAAGACGGUCACGAAGUGACAGGCCACAUACUUAUGAAGAAGGAUUUGAGGGCAACUUCACCCUCAGUGCUGUAACAAUUUAUAUCAAGAGGUCUACCAGUACGAGUGCUACCAGU